rnacentral:rRNA from 1 species
GACGAACGCUGGCGGCGUGCCUAAUACAUGCAAGUUGAGCGCUGAAGGUUGGUACUUGUACCAACUGGAUGAGCAGCGAACGGGUGAGUAACGCGUGGGGAAUCUGCCUUUGAGCGGGGGACAACAUUUGGAAACGAAUGCUAAUACCGCAUAAAAACUUUAAACACAAGUUUUAAGUUUGAAAGAUGCAAUUGCAUCACUCAAAGAUGAUCCCGCGUUGUAUUAGCUAGUUGGUGAGGUAAAGGCUCACCAAGGCGAUGAUACAUAGCCGACCUGAGAGGGUGAUCGGCCACAUUGGGACUGAGACACGGCCCAAACUCCUACGGGAGGCAGCAGUAGGGAAUCUUCGGCAGUGGACGAAAGUCUGACCGAGCAACGCCGCGUGAGUGAAGAAGGUUUUCGGAUCGUAAAACUCUGUUGGUAGAGAAGAACGUUGGUGAGAGUGGAAAGCUCAUCAAGUGACGGUAACUACCCAGAAAGGGACGGCUAACUACGU